CAUUGGUCGAGAGUUGGCUCCACUCUCCUGGUAAGUCUAAGGUAGGACGAAACUAAUG
rnacentral:hammerhead_ribozyme from 1 species